rnacentral:rRNA from 1 species
AACGAACGCUGGCGGCAGGCUUAACACAUGCAAGUCCAGCGCCCCGCAAGGGGAGCGGCAGACGGGCGAGUAACGCGUGGGAAUCUACACCUAUCUACGGAAUAACGCAUGGAAACGUGUGCUAAUACCGUAUACGCCCUCGGGAGAAAGAUUUACCGGAGAUGGAUGAGCCCGCGUUGGAUUAGCUAGUUGGUGGGGUAAAGGCCUACCAAGGCGACGAUCCAUAGCUGGUCUGAGAGGAUGAUCAGCCACACUGGGACUGAGACACGGCCCAGACUCCUACGGGAGGCAGCAGUGGGGAAUAGUGGACAAUGGGCGCAAGCCUGAUCCAGCCAUGCCGCGUGAGUGAUGAAGGCCCUAGGGUUGUAAAGCUCUUUCACCGGUGAAGAUAAUGACGGUAACCGGAGAAGAAGCCCCGGCUAACUUCGUGCCAGCAGCCGCCGUAAAAC